UACGGCCCGCAAGGUUGAAACUCAAAGGAAUUGACGGGGGCCCGCACAAGCAGUGGAUUAUGUGGAUUAAUUCGAAGCAACGCGAAGAACCUAACCAGGGCUUGACAUCCUCUGACAACUCUAGAGAUAGAGCCUCCCUUCGGGGCAGAGUGACAGGUGGUGCAUGGUUGUCGUCAGCUCGUGUCGUGAGAUGUUUGGUUAAGUCCAAUAACGAGCGCAACCCCUAUUGCUAGUUGCUACCAUUUAGUUGAGAACUCUAGCGAGACUGCCGCGGACAACGCGGAGGAAGGAGGGGACGACGUCAAAUCAUCAUGCCCCUUAUGUCCUGGGCUACACACGUAAUACAGUGGCCGAUACAAAGAGAAGCGAAAUUGCGAAAUUGAGCAAAUCUCAUAAAGUCGGUCUCGGUUCGGAUUGAAGACUGCAACUCGUCUUCAUGAAGGUGGAAUUGCUAGUAAUCGCAAGUCAGAAAAUUGCGGUGAAUACGUUCUCGGGUCUUGCACACACCGCCCGUCAAGCUACGAAAAUCGACAGUACCUGAAGUUGUAUUUUUAACCCCAAGGAAAAAAUAUGAUCAAGGUAAGGUUGAUGAUUGGGGCU
rnacentral:rRNA from 1 species